rnacentral:lncRNA from 1 species
CAAGCACAGACCAGGGAGACCUCUCUACUUUGCAGUUAUCUGAAGUGUCAGCAGAAUUUUCUAGAUUUGGAUAGCACUGGCAUUUUGGAACAGUCACGUGAUGGGAACUCCUUCCUCCUUUCCACACGACUCUCUGGCCUCCUUCCUGUCUCAGAUUCUCUCCUGGGUCCUGUGACACAGAUGCACCAGGCACCAUCCCGGCCCCGAGGAGCUCCAGGCUCACAGAGCUAAGACAUUGCGUUUAAAAAGCAAGAGCUCUGGGCUUGCUUUUUGGAGUCAGUGGAGCUGGUCUUGCUAUUAGGACAGUAAGUAAGUGACCUGCUCUUAAGGGCAGGAGGGGUAAGAUGGUCUCACAGUGUGCAGGGUCAUUCUGCUUCUUAGAACUCAGUUGGGGGGUCAUUUGUAAUUCUGGAGACUGGUUUUGAGGGACACGGACCCCUUGGUACUAUAACAGAGCUCAGGUGGAAAGCUAUAAUCACAAUAUGUUACCCUGACAAAAGUGAAGACUUGUUUAAAAUACGUAUCUCUGAGAAUCCUCUCUUGCAGAGACAAAUGAAGCAAUUUGAGGAAUAGGCUCAGUCUAUGUUAAACACAAAGGGGAUGAGAGAAUUAAUUAAAGGGGAGGGGCGGGAUUGAUCUCUGUGCUUGAAGCCGUGAGCCUUGGUUUGCCACAUCCCUGACAACCUCUGAUGCCUGUGCCGGGACACACCUUAGAACGUGUCCUCUGCACAAUGCACUGGAGAAAUGAGAUUAGCAGGCAUCGUAGGAGGCAUUAACGGACGGUGGUUCUUACACAGGG